rnacentral:ncRNA from 1 species
UAAAUGGCAUUGAUGGAAAGAAGUAGCCUUAUGUUUGCUGUCACAGAGAGGGAGCGCUUGGUGGAAGCUCCUGCAGGGUAUAUGGUGAAGCAGUUCCGGAGCUGCCUGUCGUUAAAAGGACAGGACGUGAAAACGGCGUUAACGUUUGUUCUAAGAGCCCCGUUCAGGGGAAUUAGGGUGGUACCGCGUGAGAAUAUCUCUCGUCCCUUAU